GGGUAUCGAACAGGAUUAGAUACCCUGGUAGUCCGCACGGUAAACGAUGGAUGCCCGCUGUUUGCGAUAUACUGUGAGCGGCCAAGAGAAAUCGUUAAGCAUCCCACCUGGGGAGUACGCCGGCAACGGUGAAACUCAAAGGAAUUGACGGGGGCCCGCACAAGCGGAGGAACAUGUGGUUUAAUUCGAUGAUACGCGAGGAACCUUACCCGGGCUUGAACUGCCAGCGAACGAUUCAGAGAUGAUGAGGUCCUUCGGGACGCUGGUGGAGGUGCUGCAUGGUUGUCGUCAGCUCGUGCCGUGAGGUGUCGGCUUAAGUGCCAUAACGAGCGCAACCCUUUUCUUUAGUUGCCAUCAGGUAAUGCUGGGCACUCUGGAGAUACUGCCACCGUAAGGUGUGAGGAAGGUGGGGAUGACGUCAAAUCAGCACGGCCCUUACGUCCGGGGCUACACACGUGUUACAAUGGGGGGUACAGAGAGUCGGAUAUACGCAAGUAUGUUCUAAUCCUUAAAGCCUUCCUCAGUUCGGAUUGGGGUCUGCAACCCGACCCCAUGAAGCUGGAUUCGCUAGUAAUCGCGCAUCAGCCAUGGCGCGGUGAAUACGUUCCCGGGCCUUGUACACACCGCCCGUCAAGCCAUGAAAGCCGGGGGCGCUUGAAGUCCGUGACCGCAAGGAUCGGCCUAGAGCGAAACUGGUAAUUGGGGCUAAGUCGUAACAAGGUAACC
rnacentral:rRNA from 1 species